CAGUAGCCGCGGGAAUACGUAGGGUGCAAGCGUUAAUCGGAAUUACUGGGCGUAAAGCGUGCGCAGGCGGUUUUGUAAGACAGAGGUGAAAUCCCCGGGCUCAACCUGGGAACUGCCUUUGUGACUGCAAGGCUAGAGUACGGCAGAGGGGGAUGGAAUUCCGCGUGUAGCAGUGAAAUGCGUAGAUAUGCGGAGGAACACCGAUGGCGAAGGCAAUCCCCUGGGCCUGUACUGACGCUCAUGCACGAAAGCGUGGGGAGCAAACAGGAUUAGAUACCCGAGUAGUCCCUGUCUCUUAUAU
rnacentral:rRNA from 1 species